UAAACCCGGGAAGUGGAGCUUGCAGUGAGCCAAGAUCCGGCCACUGCACUCCAGCCUGGGCGACAGAGCGAGACUCCAUCUCAAAAAAAAAAAAAAAAAAAAAAUCAAGUGUGUUUAAAGAAAACCCCAGCCUGCUCUGAUGUCAAAGAGCUGCCGAUCGGGUCCCCUGGGAAGGGAGAGUAGUAAUAGCCAAGAAGGAGCGGGUGCCCCGUGCCUUGGUGCUGAGCGCAUCUCCACGACGGCAGCACCUGAUGGAGGAAAGCUGGGUCAGCAUCGCUGCUCCUGGUCACAGAUCAUAGACAGCGCCCCGGUGCAUCUCAUAGCACCUGUGGCCCCUGAAUAGAACUGGGAAAGUGAAUGUUCUGCUUUCUGGGCGGGUUGAUGAUGGGAAAGUUGAUCAGCCUCAUUCGCUUGCAGAAUUCCACAGCUCAGAGCAAUCACUCUGUGUUCCUUUGUUCUCUGCUUCCUCACGCUUCUGUGAAUCCUCCAGUCAUUCAGAAUCAGAUGUUGCAUGUCACAGGUUGUGCCUUCUCUUGCUGUCCUCUUUCCCAGUGCUCAGUAAAUGUUGAUUAAAGGAAGGAAGGAAGAAUGGUUUAAGAUUGUUUCAAAAGCCUUCAGGGGGCCCUAUCAUGCAGAGAAGGAAAGUCCAGGCUCUCUCUGACACAGCUGGAAGAUGUCUGAGAGACUUCGCGUACCAGGGCAGCCUUGCAAGCUGCUGCUCCCACACAUGCCUCAGCUAUCAGUUUAUUCACCAGCUCCCAAAGUCACCCUGUAACCUGGUGGGUUUACACGUGCUGCUCUUGGUGCUGGAAUGCCUCGGUCCACCUUCCUCAUCCAUCCAAACCUACCUCCCGUGCCCCUCCUGGGAAGGCCCACCUUCUCAUAGCAGGGUGAUGCCGCCUGGUGCGUCUGCAGGAUUCCAAACUGCCUCCCGUGCCCCUCCUGGGAAGGCCCACCUUCUCAGGAUGACGCCGCCUGGUGUGUCUGCAGGAGUCUUCAGGCUCCACUGCGCAGCACUGGCCGCUUGUCUGGUUCCACGUAAGAACUUCCGUGUUCACAAAGGGUAUGUCUAGCAGACCUUUGAGGAUCACCGACUUUCCGAGUGCUUGUGCAUGCGCAUUUAGUCAUUCUUGGUAAAUAAAAUCCCUUUCAGACCUUUUCACUUUCUUCAUUCACCAGCCCCAGAAAGUAGCUUUAGUUUUAAGACCUCUUUUCAUCUUUCAUGAAGAAAUGAAAUGUCUGCCUCUUCCUGAGGAUUGCCAUUCCUUCGGGAGGGCAGCAGCUGUCUCUCCUCGACGUGGAGCUGCUGGGCGGUUUGCUCCCCCACACCAGCCCUGCAGAGCAGUGCAUUCGGCAGCCCCUGCUUCAGCUACUCCAAGGCGAGAGUGGGGGGCCCUCCCCUGCACCGCCUAUCUCGGGUCCCCAUCUGUGUAUGGACACGUCCGUCUCAUACCCUGCACACUCGCCUCUGCAUUCCUGGCACCUAGCAGCACCAGCCACAAAGAUUUUGAGCCAAUGACAAAGGUUGGGAGCAGCAGAGCUCAUGCAAGGAGUCCACACAAGGGUUCCUCACUUCUGACACCAACAGCACACUGAACGGUUCCCAAGCCAACUUCAGAUUCGCCCUUUUACCGUGACUCACAGAGCUCCCUGGACGCGGUUACGCUCAUAGUUACGAUUUACUGCAGCAAAAGGAUAUAGGUUAAAAUCAACCAAGAUGCACACAGGGCAGAGUCCAGGAGGGAAUCGAAUUCAGAGUUCCCACCAGCUCUCCCGUGGAAUCAGAUGUGUUGUGUUCCCAGCACCCACGUGUGGCAGUCAGUGCACAUGGAGUAUCGCCAGCCGGAGGUGCUCUCCCGAGCCUUGGUGUCCAGAGUUUUUCCCGGGGCUCUGACAUGAGCAGGAUUGGUCGGUUGAUUGCUCAGGUACUGCAUGGCCAGCUCCUGCCCUGUAUCCUAUCAUUAGCCAAGGACCAAGGCCAGUCCUCUUUUUGGGCAAGGUUAAAUUCUUGCCUUCCCUCCUAUCACCGUUGCUUCUGGCACCAUUGCCCUGGAGGAGCUCCUGGCACAGUGGUGGGGUCUCAGGCCUCCACCUUACUGUGCGAUGAAGAGCUUGAGGAGAUCGAGAAGGAGACUGGCCUUUCCCACCGUCAGAUCACUCGCCUGUGCAGGCGGUUCAGCAACCUGGACAAAGGAGAGAACAAGACGAUUUCCAGGGGAUUCCAGAACUUGCGAUCAACCCGGUAGGGAACUGGAUCAUCAAUGCCUUCUUUCCAGAGGGAGAGGACCAGGUAAACUUCCGUGGAUUCCUGCAAACUUUGGCUCCUUUCCGAACCACUGAGGAUAAUGAAAAGAGCAAAGAUGUGAACGGACCUGAACCACUCAACAGCCGAAGCAACAAACUGCACUUUGCUUUUCAACUAUAUGAUUUGGAUAAAGAUAGCAAGAUCUCUCGUGAUGAUGUUAAAGGUGCUAUGCAUGAUGGUCCGAGUACAUGUCUCCAAUGAGCAGCUGGGCAGCAUCACAGACAGGACCAUUCAGGAGGCUGAUCAGCAUGGGGACAGUGCCAUAUCUUUAUCACAGACUUUGCUAAGGUUUUGGACAAGGUGGAUGUAGAACAGAAAAUAAGCAUCCGAUUUCUUCACUAAAGGACAGACAGCAAACUGUUCCUUGCGGUCUAGUAUUUAAGAACUGGAACUUGACAGUCCUCCUGUCCACCAGCCCUACCUCCACCCCAUCAUUCCCCUUCUCCCAAAGUACCACUGCUGUUACAUGACAACCCCAAAUAUGUUCUGUCCACACAAACUUGCCUUUGGUCUAUAAACAGGGCAUUACAGAAUGGUACACCCAGUCUAUUUCUGCUCAGUGUCUAUUCACCAGUUCUUCACUUACAAAUAUUGUCUUCCUCUGUUCUGCUGCUGAAAGCCACACAUCCAUCCAGUCUGAGAAAGUAAGAUAGGAAAUCAUGCCGAGGAACAGGCCAGCAAAGCUCUUUCGCUGGAUGUAGGCUGCACCUGCUGCCUUCCCCGCAGCGAGUCUGCCAGCAUGCUUCUCCAUCCUUUUUAUAUGUCCUUUGCUUCCCACUUACGUGUACGUUCAACAUACGGUUCACCUAGUCAUGCAGUCUUGCUGCUUUUCGUGAAGCCUCAGAAUCUCCUCUGUUCUACUUGGCACCCCAAGCUAUGCCUGGUAUUGUAUUUCUGACUUGGUACGAUAGUUCAGUGGUCUGGCAGUUUUUAUCUACUUUCGUUAUUAAAUGGGCCCCUGGGAUGUUGCCUCCCCAGGAGCCUUUUGGUAACCAACAUUUCUGUCAGGAGUAUGAGAUCAUCCUCUGCACUGUGCUCUGUCAUCAGAGGGCGGCUGGGUGGACAUAUUCGUGAAAGGUGGCCUUGGAGAGAGGAGUGGAGUCAAGUCUUCUGGGUCGCUUGUCCACAUCACUCUGCUUCUGGCCUCUGAUUCUCAACUUUGUACCCAUGUGGCAUCUCUUGUUAGUGCAGUGUUGACUAUUCAAAAAGUAGCAAUAGGCCUGCAGGUUUGCUUAGUCUUGGGACGCCAUUACCACCAGAACGCCUGCUCUGACAAUAUGCUUGGGGACUGCCUGAUGGCUUUUUGAACAAGGAGGCUGCGCACCCUGUAAAGCCUCCUGCGUUCGCACCUCUGCUGCAUGGUUUGUGCCUCAGUGUUUUGUGCACUGGAAUGCUUUUCACUUGACGUUUCCAAGUUAGAAAGAUUAGUGUUACGGAAGUGCCUAACUUACCCCAGUCCAAAAUAUUUAAAGAUUGUUCUCUGUGUCUUGAAGUUUCGCACAAAAUUAUUUAUGAAUUUUACACUUGUCAAAUGUUAGUGCUGGAAGCCAUAGUCCGCUCCUAAUACAAGUCCAAAGCAUUGACUGUUGUGUCACUAGCUCCCUGGUUACAUUGGUUUCCCAGCUCCUUGUGUAGGCCACUGUUGAUCCCUUAGAAACAAGAGGUCUGGCACUAGUAGCACAACCUAAGGUGGCAUUCCAAGUCUUUGAGCAAGUCACAGCAGCUUUUCUUGCCAAAGUCAGCUUAGUUUAGACUUCAGUGGUUCAGGCUGUUGCUAUCCUAAUGUAUGUCUCUGUGAGUCUGUUCAUUCACAUAUCUGCCGUUGGCUGACUUUCUUGACUCAUUGCUUGCUUGCUUGUUUCCUUGCUUUGGAAAACUAUUGGAGAUGUGUACAUCAGUCUUUAGGAAGGGGAUUGUUUAAAAAUACCACUGCAAAGCGAUAGAAAAGGGUGGAGAACAGGGGAGUAGCCAGGCUGGAUGGCUCAAAUAUAAAUGAAUGAGGAAUUCUUUAUGAAGUAUCAAUUGGACUUUGUGAUCGAGUGAUGUAAUAUAGGAAUUAUAUAGAAAGAAGAAUAUCUGAUACUGAUCUGUUAGAUACUUCAGAGGCUCCUUGAUUUGCAUAUUUGCAUAAUUAAAAUUACGGCCUUUCCCUUCUUUUGGCUGCACAGCAGACUGUUUUAAUCCACGAUUGUGCCUUCUUGUUCCAUUAAAAUUGCAUCUUCAGUCCAUCAAUAAAUACUCAUGGUCAAAACAAAGCAAAAAUUCUUUACUGCACACUGAGUAAGGGCAGGGCUCUAUCAAUGUGCAUCGAGUGGCCUCGUAAGCUGUGAACAGAGUGGAUGUGGGACGUGGGGUGAAGUCUCUUCUGCCUGAUUUUAAGUCUUUGCAAACUUUUUAGACUGUAAGGAGCUAAGCUCAGUCUGUUCGUGAAAAUUGGUGGUGACAUGCCACGUGUGCCCUUCCUGUU